CCCCGUGUGGCCGGGGUCACUCUGCGCCGGCACUGUGGCUUUUGUCAGCAUCUGGACAACU
rnacentral:sRNA from 2 species